rnacentral:pre_miRNA from 1 species
AUGUGGGGCAAUCGGUCUUAAAGUAGGGAUAAAUUACUCUAAGAGAAAUGAAUGUUGAUCAUUUUCCCUUCAAGUCAAGUGCAUUGU